GGGCACAUGGUGUAGUUGGUUAUCACGCUCGCUUAGCAUUCAAUAUUCAUGGUUUGCGAGAGGUGUUGGGUUCAAUUCCCAAUGCGUCCA